rnacentral:rRNA from 1 species
UACAGAGGUGGCAAGCGUUGUUCGGAAUUACUGGGCGUAAAGGGCGCGUAGGUGGCCUUUUGAGUCAGACGUGAAAUCCCCAGGCUUAACUUGGGAACUGCGUCUGAUACUGGGAGGCUUGAGUUCGGGAGAGGGAUGUGGAAUUCCAGGUGUAGCGGUGAAAUGCGUAGAUAUCUGGAGGAACACCGGUGGCGAAGGCGGCAUCCUGGACCGAAACUGACACUGAUGCGCGAAAGCCAGGGGAGCAAACGGG